rnacentral:tRNA from 1 species
GCCUGGGUGGCUCAGCGGUUAAGCGCUUGCCUUCGGCUCAGGGCGUGAUCCCGGCGCUGUGGGAUCGAGCCCCACAUCAGGCU